GGUUCCAAAGCCACUCAGACAUUCCACACAAUCCAUUCUCUCCACCACUUCCUCUCUGUGAUCUGGAAACCCACCUCUCCCCAACUCCUGCUCCCACGGCCAUCCUGUACCUUGCCAUUACCUAUAAAACUGCAUAGCUUUUGGGAUGCUUCAGCCUCUCAAGUCCCACUCACCACCUCUUGUUCUUUCAGAAUAAUUUCUCCAGUAUCCACACCUCCAAUAGUUAUCUAAUGUCUAACCUUAUCUUUUAUGUUCCCUGCAGGGACAGUAUGUCUCCUCACCCAGCUUAUACCCUAGAAUCCUCAGUUUAAUCCCAUCCUAUAGAUACCCCAGGGGCUUUCUCUCUCUCUCUCUUUCUCGUCUUGAUUUCCUGUCUAAACUCUUAACACUGAUUACAUUCAACUUUCCAAUUAUCCUGUGCCCACAGCUGGGGGCAGGGUGAUGUCCCAGUUUGCUUGGGACAUUUCUGGUUCUAGCUCUGGAGGUUCUGUAUCCUGGAGUCUCUCCGUCCCAGGCAAACCAGGACACGUCAGUCUGCAGUUGUCGAAGAAUCAACUCCAGUUGAUUGACCUUCCCGGUCAGUGUGGAUGGAGACCGCUCCCUAGGGAAGAAGGGGUAGUCAGAAAGACUCAAGGCCACUGGAGUGAAGACGCAGCACUCAGUACUCUUGCUGGGAAAGUUUGCACUCAGAGAAUUAUUUCAUGUGCUUAGUGCCCAGCGAGGGAAUAAAUAAUAUCAUGUCAGACUUGGAAAGGGAACAUAUUGCUGCUUUGGUGGAAAAUCCCUUCUGAGUCUCUGUUGAUUUAAAAAGGGAUUCAGAAUCUCUACAACCAUAGAUGCUGGUUAGAAACAAAAACAAACAAACAAACAAAAAAACCAAACCAACAACAACUCAGAAGAUAGAUUAUCUAAAUCAGUUUAUCCAACUGAGACUCGGAAGACCAAUAAAGUCCUGGGAACCAAA